rnacentral:rRNA from 1 species
GACCUCUAAUCGAAAAAGACUACCCGCCGAGUUUAA